rnacentral:rRNA from 1 species
GAGACCCCUACCUCUAGUUGCUACUGUUAUUCUCAGGAGUAAUAGAGCUAAUUAGAGGGACCGCCGCCGCUGAGGCGGAGGAAGGAGGGGGCUACGGCAGGUCAGUAUGCCCCGAAACCCUCGGGCCACACGCGGGCUGCAAUGGUAAGGACAAUGGGCUCCGAUUCCGAAAGGAGGAGGCAAUCCCUAAACCUUACCACAGUUAUGAUUGAGGGCUGAAACUCGCCCUCAUGAAUAUGGAAUCCCUAGUAACCGCGUGUCAUCAUCGCGCGGUGAAUAC